rnacentral:rRNA from 1 species
AUUGAACGCUGGCGGCAUGCCUAACACAUGCAAGUCGAACGGAAGCACGGGGCGUAACCCCUGGUGGCGAGUGGCGAACGGGUGAGUAACAUAUGAGUACGCGUCCUGUAGCGGGGGAAAACCUAUAGAAAGCUGGGAUUAUUCCGCAUACGACGUACGGGUGAAAGGGGGGGACUGGGAGGCUUCGCACUAUAGGAGGUGUCGAUGUGGGUUUAGAUAGUUGGGGGGGUAACGGUCCAAAAAGGCGACGAUCCGUAGCUGGUCUGAGAGGACGAUCAGCCACACUGGAACUGAGACACGGUCCAGACUCCUACGGGAGGCAGCAGUGGGGAAUGUUGGACAAUGGGCGCAAGCCUGAUCCAGCCAUGCCGCGUGUGUGAAGAAGGCCUUCGGGUUGUAAAGCUCUUUCGGCGGGGACGAAACGGUUUGUGCUAAUACCACGCACUACUGACGGUACCCGCAGAAGAAGCACCGGCUAACUACGUG